rnacentral:rRNA from 1 species
CAAAACGACUCUCGGCAACGGAUAUCUCGGUCUCGCAUCGAUGAAGAACGUAGCGAAAUGCGAUACUUGGUGUGAAUUGCAGAAUCCCGUGAACCAAUCGAGUCUUUGAACGCAAGUUGCGCCCGAAGCCAUUAGGCCGAGGGCACGUCUGCCUGGGCGUCA